CCCUAGACUGAAGGGGAAAAAUUUCAUUCCCUUCGGAGGAGGGAGCAGAAUCUGCCCUGGUUCCGAGCUAGGCAAACUUGAGGUCUCCAUUUCCUCCACUAUUUUCUCCUCAAUUACAGGCUCGAAGAAAUAAACACAAAUGUGCCAACUAUUACCCUACCGUUGACACGUCCGUCAGAUAACUGUCUGGCAAGAAUCAUUAAGCUUCCAUAACCAUCUCAACUGGAAUUAGAUUGCUACUUCCUAUGUUUCACCUUAUGUCUACAUAAAAACACACAUGAUUGUAUGUAAUAAGAUGCUCUUUCAAUGAG